rnacentral:rRNA from 1 species
AUUGAACGCUGGCGGCAGGCCUAACACAUGCAAGUCGAGCGGAUGAAGGGAGCUUGCUCCUGGAUUCAGCGGCGGACGGGUGAGUAAUGCCUAGGAAUCUGCCUGGUAGUGGGGGAUAACGUCCGGAAACGGGCGCUAAUACCGCAUACGUCCUGAGGGAGAAAGUGGGGGAUCUUCGGACCUCACGCUAUCAGAUGAGCCUAGGUCGGAUUAGCUAGUUGGUGGGGUAAAGGCCUACCAAGGCGACGAUCCGUAACUGGUCUGAGAGGAUGACCAGUCACACUGGAACUGAGACACGGUCCAGACUCCUACGGGAGGCAGCAGUGGGGAAUAUUGGACAAUGGGCGAAAGCCUGAUCCAGCCAUGCCGCGUGUGUGAAGAAGGUCUUCGGAUUGUAAAGCACUUUAAGUUGGGAGGAAGGGCAGUAAGUUAAUACCUUGCUGUUUUGACGCUACCAACAGAAUAAGCACCGGCUAACUUCGUG